rnacentral:tRNA from 1 species
AGGGCUGUAGCUCAGGGGUAGAGCGUCGCCUUGACACGGCGGAAGUCGGCGGUUCGAAGCCGCCCAGCCCUACAA